UACGGAAGGGGCAAGCGUUGUUCGGAAUCAUUGGGCGUAAAGGGCGCGUAGGUGGUUCUGUAUGUCUACCGUGAAAGCGUACGGCUCAACCGUAUUUUGUCGGUAGAAACUGCAGGACUUGAGGCUGGGAGGGGCUGGUGGAAUUCCCUGUGUAGCGGUGAAAUGCGUAGAGAUCGGGAGGAACACCCGUGGCGAAGGCGGCCAGCUGGGAUACACCUGACGCUGAGGCACGAAGGCGUGGGGAGCGAACAGG
rnacentral:rRNA from 1 species